AACAAGAUUGCUUUUCUAGCCCUCUUCAGGAUGAUGAGUGUUUUGGAAUACAAACCAAUUCACGCUUUGGUCGGUCACCUGUUUCAUGCCUACAACCCGGUAUCCUUGGUUCCAUCCUUUAACAAGAUUGCUUUUCUAGCCCUCUUCAGGAUGAUGAGUGUUUUGGAAUACAAACCAAUUCACGCUUUGGUCGGUCACCUGUUUCAUGCCUACAACCCGGUAUCCUUGGUGUUCCU
rnacentral:lncRNA from 1 species